rnacentral:rRNA from 2 species
AGACCCGAAACCCGGUGAUCUAGCCAUGGGCAGGUUGAAGGUUGGGUAACACUAACUGGAGGACCGAACCGACUAAUGUUGAAAAAUUAGCGGAUGACCUGUGGCUGGGGGUGAAAGGCCAAUCAAACCGGGAGAUAGCUGGUUCUCCCCGAAAGCUAUUUAGGUAGCGCCUCGUGAAUUCAUCUCCGGGGGUAGAGCACUGUUUCGGCUAGGGGGCCAUCCCGGCUUACCAACCCGAUGCAAACUGCGAAUACCGGAGAAUGUUAUCACGGGAGACACACGGCGGGUGCUAACGUCCGUCGUGAAGAGGGAAACAACCCAGACCGCCAGCUAAGGUCCCAAAGUCAUGGUUAAGUGGGAAACGAUGUGGGAAGGCCCAGACAGCCAGGAUGUUGGCUUAGAAGCAGCCAUCAUUUAAAGAAAGCGUAAUAGCUCACUGGUCGAGUCGGCCUGCGCGGAAGAUGUAACGGGGCUAAACCAUGCACCGAAGCUGCGGCAGCGAACGUAUCACCCAAGACAACUUUACGGAGUUGACGAUUGACGGAGCGAAGCGACGUCAAAGCGUUCAUUAAAGUCGAGUUGGCUUAGGGAUACGUUCGUUGGGUAGGGGAGCGUUCUGUAAGCCUGUGAAGGUGUGUCGUGAGGCAUGCUGGAGGUAUCAGAAGUGCGAAUGCUGACAUAAGUAACGAUAAAGCGGGUGAAAAGCCCGCUCGCCGGAAGACCAAGGGUUCCUGUCCAACGUUAAUCGGGGCAGGGUGAGUCGACCCCUAAGGCGAGGCCGAAAGGCGUAGUCGAUGGGAAACGGGUUAAUAUUCCCGUACUUGGUGUUACUGCGAAGGGGGGACGGAGAAGGCUAUGUUGGCCGGGCGACGGUUGUCCCGGUUUAAGCGUGUAGGUGUGUGUUCCAGGUAAAUCCGGUUCACUUUAACACUGAGGCGUGAUGACGAGGCACUACGGUGCUGAAGCAACAAAUGCCCUGCUUCCAGGAAAAGCCUCUAAGCAUCAGGUAACAUCAAAUCGUACCCCAAACCGACACAGGUGGUCAGGUAGAGAAUACCAAGGCGCUUGAGAGAACUCGGGUGAAGGAACUAGGCAAAAUGGUGCCGUAACUUCGGGAGAAGGCACGCUGACACGUAGGUGAAGUGAUUUACUCAUGGAGCUGAAGUCAGUCGAAGAUACCAGCUGGCUGCAACUGUUUAUUAAAAACACAGCACUGUGCAAACACGAAAGUGGACGUAUACGGUGUGACGCCUGCCCGGUGCCGGAAGGUUAAUUGAUGGGGUCAGCG